rnacentral:misc_RNA from 1 species
AAGUCGUAACAAGGUUUCCGUAGGUGAACCUGCGGAAGGAUCAUUAACACGUACGAAAGUACACACCAACACUGUGAACCUUUUUGGUACAACCUCUCCCUUUCGAUGUGGGCUGUUAGUAUGGAUGCUGCUAUAGGACAUUCAUCUAGCAGGCUCGUGUCUUUACACGAACCCACUCUGAAGGUUACCUUUUCCUUAGCACAAUUUACCAUUAUCACCUAUAAUUACAUUUGUCUAAUGUAGCGGCACAGAGAAAUCCGUGCAGCUUGAUUAUCUAAACUAAGCACAACUCUUAGCAAUGGAUAUCUAGGUUCUC